UACGGAGGUGGCAAGCGUUGUCCGGAAUUAUUGGGCGUAAAGCGCGCGCAGGCGGUUCCUUAAGUCUGAUGUGAAAGCCCACGGCUCAACCGUGGAGGGUCAUUGGAAACUGGGGGACUUGAGUGCAGAUGAGGAGAGCGGAAUUCCACGUGUAGCGGUGAAAUGCGUAGAGAUGUGGAGGAACACCAGUGGCGAAGGCGGCUCUCUGGUCUGUAACUGACGCUGAGGGGCGAAAGCGUGGGGAGCAAACAGG
rnacentral:rRNA from 1 species